GUACGGAAGGCGGCAGUGGGGAAUAUUGGACAAUGGGCGAAAGCCUGAUCCAGCCAUGCCGCGUGUGUGAAGAAGGCCUUCGGGUUGUAAAGCACUUUAAGCGAGGAGGAGUGGCUCUGGGUUAAUACCCUUGAGCAGUGACGUUACUCGCAGAAUAAGCACCGGCUAACUCUGUGCCAGCAGCCGCGGUAAUACAGAGGGUGCAAGCGUUAAUCGGAAUUACUGGGCGUAAAGCGCGCGUAGGCGGUUACGUAAGUUGGAUGUGAAAUCCCCGGGCUCAACCUGGGAAUUGCAUUCAAAACUGCGUGGCUAGAGUGUGGGAGAGGAAGGUAGAAUUCCAGGUGUAGCGGUGAAAUGCGUAGAUAUCUGGAGGAAUACCGAUGGCGAAGGCAGCCUUCUGGCCUAACACUGACGCUGAGGUGCGAAAGCAUGGGGAGCAAACAGGAUUAGAUACCCCAGUUGUCC
rnacentral:rRNA from 1 species